rnacentral:rRNA from 1 species
GACUCUUAGUGUAGCUUCCGAGAAGGUUAGAUCUACUCUACUUUACUUUUAGUGUGGCAUAACUAAACUUUUAAUGUAGAAUAGGAGUGAAACGCUUUACAAUUACCUGUAUAUCUGAAUAUCAAUUAAAUAUAUUUAGUAUAGGAUACAAUUUCUCAAAUAUCUACUGUUAAGGGUAGAUAUAAUAAAUAACAGCUUUUUGCUCUCUUCUCCGGGUAAUUACCUGAAUCGAUUCUAAUAAAGUAAUAUACAUGUUACUUAUGUUUUUACAUUUAAUUAAAGAUAUAUUCAAACUUAACCGUUAUAUAUAUAAUGUUAAAAUUAGUAAGAUUGAAAAGAAGUUUAGAAGGAACUCGGCAAACGUACAAAUCAACUGUUUACCAAAAACAUAGCUUAUUGAAUUUUCAUAAUAAGUGUAGUCUGCCCAGUGAGUAUCUUUAACGGCCGCAGUACUUUGACUGUGCUAAGGUAGCAAAAUAAAUAGGCCUUUAAUUGGGGUCGAGAAUGAAAGGCUUCAUGGUUUGACGCUGUCUCCUACUAUUAACCCUUAAUUUACUUAGUAGGUGAAAAUUCCUACGUAUACAUAUAAGACGAGAAGACCCUAAGAAUUUUUAAAUUAACGUUACCAUAAAUGUAAAAUUUUUUGUUGGGGCGACAAUAUGGCAUUAAACCCAUAUUAAUAUAACAUAGCACGACCGAACUAGUAGAGUAAUGGAGAGUAUAAUUACCUUAGGGAUAACAGCAUAAUUUUCUAUAAGAUUGUGACCUCGAUGUUGGACUAGGGACCUCUUAUAUUAGCCGUAUAAGAGGUAAUUUCUGUUCGAAAUAAUACUACCUACAUGAUCUGAGUUCAGACCGGCGCAAGCCAGGUCAGUUUCUAUCUAUAUAAUUUUUAUUUUA